UAUUAAAAGUUUUAUUCAUUGUGCAGUUAAAAACUAAUGUAACUAAUGAAAUAACCAAAUAAUGACAUGUGAAACCAUCUGUACAUCAAACUGAUAUCUAGAGACUAGUUUUUAACAGUAGAAAUGAAUAAAAUUUUUAACA
rnacentral:pre_miRNA from 1 species